UUGGCUUAUGAAAAUAGAGCCGUCGUGGUUGACAUUGCCAAACCGUAGGCUGUAUAAAACGAGACGAUUGAGAGAGUUUUUUCAAAUAAAUAUUCAAACGAGUUCUUCAAAGAUCUGAAUCUCGAGUCGAUCGGAAUGGCUUUGACUGGAACAGCUCCCCCAAGAGGAAGUGCAGCAGCGGCUGCCAGCAUGCGUAGGAGGAGGACAACCAGUGGGGCUGGUGCGUCAGGAGGUGCAGCCGGUACAAUGCUCCAGUUUUACACUGAUGAUGCGCCAGGACUCAAGAUCUCACCCAAUGUUGUGCUUAUUAUGAGCAUUGGUUUCAUUGCUUUUGUUGCUAUUCUUCAUGUCAUGGGUAAGCUUUACUUUGUUCGAAGAGAGUAAAGCAGGUGAAAAUGUUAUCAUGCCUAUCAAAUUUCAGUAUAGCGAGUUCUGGAGUUUGUAAACCAGUUUUAGUGUUUGUCAAGUCUGCUCAGGGUGAGGUUGCUUCUAGGAACAUUUUUCUUGUUCUAAGCCUUAGACACAUUCAAAAUUUUAAUAUUAAUUUCUUCUUUUUGAGAA